GACGAACGCUGGCGGCGUGCUUAACACAUGCAAGUCGAACGGAAAGGCCCUGCUUUUGUGGGGUGCUCGAGUGGCGAACGGGUGUGUAACACGCGAGUAACCUGCACUUGACUUUGGGAUAACUUCAGGAAACUGGGGCUCAUACCCGAUAGGAGCUACUGCUGCAUGGUGGGGGUUGGAAAGUUUCGGCGGUUGGGGAUGGACUCGCGGGUUAUGAGCUUGUUGGUGAGGUAGUGGAUUACAAAGGCUUUGACGGGUAGCCGGCCUGAGAGGGUGACCGGCCACAUUGGGACUGAGAGACGGCCCAGACUCCUACGGGAGGCAGCAGGGGGGAACAUUGCACAAUGGGCGGAAGUCUGAUGCAGCAACGUCGCGAUCGGAAUGACGGCCUUCUGGGUGUAAACCGCUGUCUCCUUUGAAGAAGCGUUAGUGACGGUAAUUGGUAAAGAAGCACCGGCUAACUACGUG
rnacentral:rRNA from 1 species